rnacentral:rRNA from 1 species
UAGGGUUCGAUCCUGGCUCAGGACGAACGCUGGCGGCGUGCUUAACACAUGCAAGUCAAGGAGAACGUUUUCUUCGGAAAACUAUUAAACUGGCGAACGGGUGAGUAACGCGUAGACAACCUACCUCAGAGACUGGGAUAACUCCGCGAAAGCGGGGCUAAUACCGGAUGAUGCAGCGGAUCCUUCGGGAUACAGUUGUUAAAGUGGGCUUCGGCUCGCACUUUGAGAUGGGUCUGCGUCCGAUUAGCUUGUUGGUAGGGUAACGGCCUACCAAGGCGAUGAUCGGUAGCUGGUCUGAGAGGAUGAUCAGCCACACUGGGAUUGAGAUACGGCCCAGACUCCUACGGGAGGCAGCAGUGGGGAAUUUUGCGCAAUGGGCGAAAGCCUGACGCAGCAACGCCGCGUGAUCGAUGAAGCUUCUAGGAGCGUAAAGAUCUGUCGUAAGAGAAGAAAAGUUCGGAUGUAAAUAGCAUUCGUUCUAGACGGUACCUUACGAGAAAGCACCGGCUAACUUCGUGCCAGCCGCCGCGGUAAUACA